rnacentral:piRNA from 1 species
UAGUAGAUAGAAGCACUAGGCCUCAGAACAU